UUAUUUUAAUCGCGAGGGUUAUAAAAAUUAAAGAGUUCGAUAAAAGGAAAUUAAGUUCACUUAACUUGUUUCCGGAGGCGUGACAUGUCAGUUAAAAAUGGUUGGUUGACCUUGGUCUUGCGGGAAGGAUGUUCUUCGGUGUUAGAAGUUUAGGAUUCUCGGGAACAGGAUGGAACAUUGGACUCGAUCUCAGGUUAAAUUGACGUAGAUUCGACAACGCUUCGCUCUAGCCAAAAUUGAACUCUCUAGGUGUCAAAUUUGCGCGGCCUUAUAUACCCUUUUUGGACAAAGGCUUCUUGGAUAUCCGAAUUUGGUCGCCUCAGUUUGAAUCUGGGCUCUCUGAUUGGUUGAUAAAAUGGCGGGAAUUAUAAAUUACACAGAUAAUCGCGCUUUCGGGUGUCAAAUUCCUUCGAGGAAUUCGUAAUUUGAUGUUAAAGUUUGGAAAGAAAAAAAUGAAAUUUAGAUAUAUAAAAUGAUUCAGAAAUAGAUGAAAUUGCGGCCUAAGGGCUAAAUCGACACGAUCUAUCGAUCUCGCAUGGUUUUAGAAUCGAAAAUCGUCUGAAAAGUCGCCAAAAUCAAUACCUGUCAAAAUGUAAAUGUCAAAAUUUGAAGGUCAUAGACUUCAAUGAAUUAUCCUUUUCUUGCACAUCGUAAUAAUUUUUCUUAAAACUAAACGAAAAUCAUAACAAAACUAACUACUUAUAGUCUAAUCCAAAAUUGUAAAGUUCUUAAAUUUAAUUAGGUUUU